rnacentral:pre_miRNA from 9 species
GCUACUUGAAAAGAGAUUAUCUUUCAUGUGUUUGCGUUAUUUGUAAUGAAUCUACAAGGGCAGGCUCCCUCUGAGGAGC